rnacentral:ncRNA from 1 species
AUGCGUGUAAGACCUGCCCGAAGCAAUGAAGGCCGAGGAGUCGGUACGGGAGUGUGUAGGGCAGGCUCGCAA